rnacentral:tmRNA from 2 species
GGGGACGUGUGGUUUCGACAGGGGAUUUUCCUGGGAAAUUGCAGGUCGGGGCAGUCACCCACCUCGUUAAAAAGGUGCAACAAUAAUAACUGGCAAACAACAAACAUUGCCUGUUGCCGCUUAAUUAAGCGGUCCGUCCAUCACAUAUUUUCUUCGGUGGUAGUGAAUGGGCGACGUUAAUCGAAGUGCAUUUCCAGUGACUCCGGUAUCUGGAAUCAAGACAAAUCCGGGCAACCUAUCAUGAAUGUUUCUAGUCACUUAUCAUGAUCGGUAAAUAACAAGACUAGAUAAACCUGUAGAAGUUUACUUUUGGUUCUCUUCUGGACGGGGAGUUCGACUCUCCCCCGUCUCCACCA